rnacentral:lncRNA from 1 species
AAAUAUGACUGAAGUUCUCAAAUUUAUUUAUGCUAUGAUUCUAUUUCUUUUGUUCCUUGUCGCAAUAAAAGUUGGUGGUGGUAAGCCUUUCUUUCAUCAUUUUCAAUUUUCCUUAUUUACUUCAUAUUUUUGUAGAAAAUCUUUUAUAAUAUUUUAGCAACAUUAUUUUAUUAUAUUUUUUCAUUGCAGAACAUAUUUUCUGUACAAGUGAUGCUGAUUGUACAAACAUUUGGAAUGAGUAUUAUAUUCAUAAGUGUGUUGAUCACGAAUGUAAGUGGGUGUGGAAAUGGGAUUUAGAGCCAUAAUUUUGUAAGAUGGUUAGUUAUUGUAACGGUACCUAAUAAUUUUUUUUCUUUUUCCAAUUUUGUGAACCUUGCAUUUAUGAUAUUGUAUUUUAAGAUGAUGGUACAACAACAAAGAAUGUUAUUUAGAUUAUCUUUUUUUCUUUUAAUUUUAGAAGCAUUAUUGUAACGUCCAAUUCAGAUAUAUCACACUUAUGAGAAUAACAUUAUAUAUU